GUCCACGCCGUAAACGAUGGAUGCUAGCUGUUAUCAGUAUCGACCCUGGUAGUAGCGAAGCUAACGCGUUAAGCAUCCCGCCUGUGGAGUACGAGCGCAAGCUUAAAACAUAAAGGAAUUGACGGGGACCCGCACAAGCGGUGGAGCGUGUUGUUUAAUUCGAUGGUAAGCGAAGAACCUUACCCAGGCUUGACAUCCUGUUAAUCUUGCCGAAAAGGCGAGAGUGCCUUCGGGGCCGCAGUGACAGGUGAUGCAUGGCCGUCGU
rnacentral:rRNA from 1 species